CCGUUUUGCAUUUUAUGGCGUUCGGUCGUUCUUACAAUUUGCUGGGAUGGAAGAACAACUUUUAAUCACUUUGUGCUACGAGCAUCUUAAGCAUUUUAUAACAUUUUGAUUAUUUAAAUUGUAAAAUAUGGCAUAAAUUGUAAUGCGCACAUCACAUUUAAGAAAUGUCGAAGAAAGUGUUUUUUCUCUGUUGCAGCUGCCACCGAUGGGUGCAAACACGUGGCUAAAAAACCGGCAUUAAAAUGAGAUGUCAUCUGAGAAGCAGAGAACCUAAAAGUGGACCAGUGAAAAGUUUUCAUUCGAAACUAUGCAUGUUAUCAAAGUCUGUUCAGAUGAUGUUGAUGCGAUUCUUUUUAAAUGCUUCCGCAGUUCCAGACCAGUUGUGAAUUUCUGAAUGUUGUCAUUGCACUUCAGUGCUGGAACAUAAGGCAAAAAUAUUCUGGAAUAUAUCCUUAAGCUGGCAAUAUAUAAAUCUUCUGUUGGAAAAUGUAAUUUCAAAAUCUGCUGAUUGAUAAAUUUACAUCAAGAUAAUUGAUGCUGGAUUUAUCUUUCAUACAUGCUGAAUAAAGAAUGCCAAAGAUCAAUAAAUACUGGUUGCUGUCGAGAUGCCGCCAGAAGAUCCAAAUUUAUGGGAAUCUGAAAGGGCGUUAAAUUUUCUAAUUAUUUGCUGAGGACGGACUGGACAAGUAUAAAAUUUAAAAAGUUGUCACAAUCUGGUGAAUGACGUCCUUUAAUUUAAGUAAAACUUGUUAAAAUAUUCAGCACAAAUAAAUGAAAAAUAUAUCUGAAA